rnacentral:misc_RNA from 1 species
UACAAAUAUAUUAUAACUAAUAUGUAAUAACAAUAUUAAAUAUAAUUCUUAAUUUGGUAAUAAUUAAUAUAAAAGUUCCAUAUUUUAUUUGUUCGGAGUAUCAGUUCUAUUUGGAAGUAACAGUCUCAGAGCCAGCCAGAAAGUGCAUUUAUAAUCCAAUCAUAUAAGAAUAUAAUAAAAAUUUGUUAUUGUUCUACAACCCCUUAGCACCUGGACGCGAAAAGAGGACCAUCGUUUAUUCGAAGCAAUUACAUUAUAAAAGAUGAACCUUUUGGUAAAUGUAGCUGAUACUCGAGAUAUGUAGUGAGUUCAGACGCGGAUAUUCUAUAAGAAAUUGGGAAAAAAUCAUAAUUUGAAGGAAAAGAAAUUGUGUUGUCAUCAUCGGCCUUCAAUAAUCAUGAAAUAGAAAUAUGCCAUCAUCUUGUGCUGUACUUGGAUGCUCGAAGGGAGGAUCAUUCCGAUUUCCAUCAAACGAAAGUAUGUGUCUUAAAUGGCGGAUUGCUCUGAAACGAAAAGACGCCAAUGGCUUCCUCUGGAGCCCAUCCCCUUACUCUGUAUUAUGUGGCGAGCACUUCAAGCCAGAAGAUUUCAGAGAGGUACUACAAAGUCUAGCUGCUGUGGGGGGGAAAGCAUAUCGGCACUUGAAAAAAGAUGCUGUCCCAUCUGUUUUUCCUUGGUCACAAGAAGGUUCUAAAAAUCAACCUGAGAAAAAACAUUGUUUGAUCAAAAAUAAAAAUGUGAAUGAGAACAAAAUUAGCAAUGACGAUAGCAUAAUUGCGGAUCCUGCUCAAUAUGGGAACGUUGUAUUGGUGGAAGAGGGCGUUUUAAAUCCAACACAAGACGUAGAUUACCAAACAGAUCCCUUGAUCAUAAAAGAUGAGUAUGUUCAAUAUACGUCUACCAAUGAAAAUAUCAUUCGACCUCUGUUCUCGAUCGGAAACUUUGUGAAUGAUCCAUCAGCAAUCGUCUACUACACGGGACUGAGUGACUACAAUCACUUCAAAGACCUGUUUUUUUGCCUCGGACCUGCUGUCAAUCACCUAUGCUAUAAAAUAGAGUCCUUAACGCGGCAGGAUGAGUUGUUCCUUACAUUGAUGAAGCUACGUCAAAAUAAAGAUGACAUUGAACUUGGUAUUAUCUUUCAUAUCCACCGUACUUCCGUCAAGAAAGUGUUCAUCACCUGGGUGAACUUUAUGUUUGAUCAAUUUAAAGAGAUUGAUCGAUUCUUGUCCAAUGACACAAUAGACAACCACCUGCCUGUGGACUUCCAAACGAAGUUUCCAAACACAAUAAUGAUCUUGGAUUCCACUAAGGUCAAAACCAAUAAAACAAGCAAUGUUACAGAUCAGACAUCCAAAUGGAGUUCGUACAAAAGCAAUGAUACAAUUACGGGAAAUGAUUUAUUAACCAAACAUGAAGUUAAAGUGAAUACCCCAAGUCCCAUGAGAGGGGUCAAUCAACCUCCGGAGGCAAGAGUCAUUAAUGAAAUAAAAGCUGCUUCUAAAAAAAUACAUGUAGAGAAGACUAUUAGGCUGGACAAGACCUACAAAAUCCUUCAAGAGGAGCUCAAUCGUCAUAAAACUCCCUUGUCAGGACGGAUAAUUUAUGUAUGCUUUGUUUGUUGUAACUUUAGAAAAAGCACUGUAGCUCGAAGUGCAUAAAACUUAUUUUGUACGCAAAGUUCACCGUUAUUCUCUUCGCCUUGUGGAAAGUUCAUCAUGGCAAACUUAAUCUUUAUCAUGAUGAACUUUUUUUACGGAAAUAUCAAUACUUUAAACUUUUUACAGGUGAAAUUCCCUUUAUUCAAGUUUACCAAAAUGAUAUUAAUUUUAUUCAGACAUAGUGUAUUGGUAUUAAAAUAUUUAUACUUGGACACUAUUCAUUAAUCAUGCAUCGGACCACAGAAAAGAAUAUGCUUUGGAGAUGGAAGAGGGCAGAUACCUAGUUCUUCUUGUUUACAUCUUCCAAUGGAGUUGUGGAACUAUACUCAAACCUCGAGGUUGAAAUGGCCCAACACAGAAAAAAUUAUACAAUUAUUACUACAUGAAAUUAUUUUUUUUUUAAAUUUCUAUAAUUAAUAAACAUUAUGUACCAUA